rnacentral:rRNA from 1 species
UACGGAGGAGGCAAGCGUUGUUCGGAUUUACUGGGCGUAAAGCGCGUGUAGGCGGAUCGUUAAGUCGGGGGUGAAAGCCCAGAGCUCAACUCUGGAAUUGCCUUCGAUACUGGCGGUCUGGAGCAGAGAAGAGGCGAGUGGAAUUCCGAGUGUAGAGGUGAAAUUCGUAGAUAUUCGGAGGAACACCAGUGGCGAAGGCGGCUCGCUGGUCUCUUGCUGACGCUGAGACGCGAAAGCGUGGGGAGCAAACAGG